UACGUAGGGUGCGAGCGUUGUCCGGAAUUAUUGGGCGUAAAGAGCUCGUAGGCGGUGUGUCACGUCGGCCGUGAAAACCUGCAGCUUAACUGUGGCGUGCGGUCGAUACGGGCAUCACUGGAGUUCGGCAGGGGAGACUGGAAUUCCUGGUGUAGCGGUGAAAUGCGCAGAUAUCAGGAGGAACACCGGUGGCGAAGGCGGGUCUCUGGGCCGAUACUGACGCUGGAGGAAGCGAAAGCCGUGGGGAGCAAACAGG
rnacentral:rRNA from 1 species